rnacentral:rRNA from 1 species
CCUACGGGUGGCAGCAGUGAGGAAUAUUGGUCAAUGGACGCAAGACUGAACCAGCCAAGCCGCGUGCAGGAGGAAGGUACUGAGAGUUGUAAACUGCUUUUGUAAGGGGGUAAAGACCGGGACGUGUACCCGGUUGAGAGUAUCGGACGAAAAAGGAUCGGCGAACUCCGUGCAAGCAGCCGCGGUAAUACGGAGGAUGCAAGCGUUAUCCGGAUUUAUUGGGUUGAAAGGGUGCGUAGGCGGUUCGUUAAAUUAGAGGUGAAAGCCCGGGGCUAAACCCCGGCCCCGCCUUUGAAACUGGCAGGCUAGAGUUUAGGUGAGGUAGGCGGAAUGUGUGGUGUAGCGGUGAAAUGCAUAGAGAUCAUGCAGAACACCGAUUGCGAAGGCAGCUUACCAAA